rnacentral:rRNA from 1 species
AUUGAACGCUGGCGGCAGGCCUAACACAUGCAAGUCGAGCGGAUGAAGGGAGCUUGCUCCUGGAUUCAGCGGCGGACGGGUGAGUAAUGCCUAGGAAUCUGCCUGGUAGUGGGGGAUAACGUCCGGAAACGGGCGCUAAUACCGCAUACGUCCUGAGGGAGAAAGUGGGGGAUCUUCGGACCUCACGCUAUCAGAUGAACCUAGGUCGGAUUAGCUAGUUGGUGGGGUAAAGGCCUACCAAGGCGACGAUCCGUAACUGGUCUGAGAGGAUGAUCAGUCACACUGGAACGGAGACACGGUCCAGAUUCCUACGGGAGGCAGCAGGGGGGAAUAUUGGACAAAGGGCGAAAGCCUGAUCCAGCCAUGCCGCGUGUGUGAAGAAGGUCUUCGGAUUGUAAAGCUUUUUAAGUUGGGAGAAAGGGCAGUAAGUUAAUACCUUGCUGUUUUGACGUUACCAACAGAAUAAGCACCGGCUAACUUCGUG